GGCACUGUCAUGUACCUGGGCAGAGGUGAGUCACACCAUCUCCUCUCAUCAGCCUUGAGUUAAUUCUCCACAGAUGAGGAGCAGAGGGAGCGGCAGCUGCAGGAGAUUUCAAAAUCAGGAACGCGGGUUUAAAAGGAGGAUGGAGACACCUCACUGUGCCGGAUGAUUGCACCAGUUUAGGAUUCUCACACCACCUGCUCCACCUUUGCUGUCUACGUACGCUGGAUCUCACACACCACAUCCCAUCCUCCUCCGUUGUUCCUGUUUGGACUCCCUCUGCUACCUCACCCCUCCCGGAGCGCUCACCCUUUGCCCAGCGCUCACCCCGGCUUCCCCUCCUCUCUCGUUCAUCCCGAACGCUACAAGGACUAGAGCUGCACCGCUCACUCUCACAGGACUUCCCUGAGCUGUUUCUGUUCCCGUUUGUGAAAUAAAGAACUUUACCAAUUCUG